AACAAGGAAAAAAAUCUAAAAAUCAACAUAUUUUCUUGCGUAAUCAAUCAAUCAAUCAUGUAAAAACAUGUAAAGUGUGUGAACUAAUAUUAGUAAUUUAGAAACUUACAAGAAUCUAAUCUAUUAAUAGUUUUUUACUUUCUGUCUUCCUAUAAUAAAUAUCGUCGGAAGAUCAAAUCUAUAAAAAAAAAAAGUUUGCCCCCAAAUACCACCAUCCCGAGUAUCAUCAUCAUCAAACUCCAAACUCCAAACUCCAAACUCCAAACUCCAAGACGACGAAACCUGCAGAAAUCCACAAGCGAAACACAUCUAAACCAUUCCAGAAAGAAUUCACUAAAGAACAACCAAAAAGAAAAAAAUCGGCGCAGAUCUGAAAGUUCUGUAAGAUAUCAGUCGCAUCCGUAUCCGAUUCGGUUGAUGCAAAACAGGAAGAAAAGAAAACAAAUCCGAUCCGAUCCGAUCUGACGAACGGAAGGAGCCAGUCUUCUCUUCCCGACCUGCACCAAGCAAAUCAGAGACGACGGCGAGUUAAAACUGUGAACGGGAAGAAAUGGACGGAGGAUUCGAAAUCGAAAUCUCAAUCGAAAUCUAUGAUCUAUAGAGUGAGAGAAGAGACCAUCGGUUUGGAGGUAGUAGUCUUGCUGUGUGUUUCCGAGAAUCUCUAGAUUUAGCCUUUCAAGGGACCGACCACUGUUGUGAUGUGGUUUCUAGCCAUGAUACGUGGCUUCUACAUUACCCGUUCGAUGUAAUCUUUACGGUUCAUAUUUAUCUUAACAGCCUGACCGAGACUGAUAGUUCCCCUAGAGAGAAUCAUAUCAUGACUUCUAAAUUAAUGAAACAAUGGGCCCAAUCUCUUAAUAAGUCCAACCCAACAGUAAUUGGCCCAUUCACUUCAAUUGAGUCCACUGUAACUAUAAUUCGUUAGCUUUUAGUUAUUCAAUUGAUGCUGACUCGAUAUGACGUGCACGUAAUUAAUUUUAAUUGAGUACAAAGUAUUUAUGAAUCAGGUGAAGGAAAAACCGAAAGUUAG
rnacentral:lncRNA from 1 species